rnacentral:rRNA from 1 species
CACACCGUAAACGAUGAUUACUAGGUGUUGGAGGAUUGACCCCUUCAGUGCCGCAGUUAACACAAUAAGUAAUCCACCUGGGGAGUACGACCGCAAGGUUGAAACUCAAAGGAAUUGACGGGGGCCCGCACAAGCAGUGGAGUAUGUGGUUUAAUUCGACGCAACGCGAAGAACCUUACCAAGUCUUGACAUCCUGCGACGCACAUAGAAAUAUGUGUUUCCUUCGGGACGCAGAGACAGGUGG